CCGCGCAGCCGUAGACAAUUACCUGGGUGUUAAAAUCGUGUUCGGUUGAUGAAAUUAGGCCUUCCGAUAUCGCAUAAUCGGGUAUUGAAGAUUGAUCGUUGACUGUUUAUGGGAUUUCGGAAGCCAAUCUCGCUAGGCUAUAAUAUUCUACAGACUCAGCCAUCAGAAAACCAAGAUGGCCACUGCUUUAUUGUCCAACUUUGAUAAAAUAAGGCCUCCUGAUAUGCCAAAAUCAUCGGGUGUUGAAGAACCAACGUUGAUCGUUCAUGUAAUUUCAGAAGACAAUCUCCUUAGGUAACUGCUUGUUAAGCAAUCAAACUUUGUAUUCACCUUAGCUACCUCUUAAUUAGAUGUGUUACAAAUGAUGUUUUUUUGACUUAAAUUUUGAGCCGAUUUUGUGUAUCUUAAAUUGAU